CUUGAAAGACGUCUCCCUCCAAGCCUGGUUCUCCUGCUCCUGGGACCCGGAAAGGGGGCGAGACGGGGAUGAGAAACUGGAGCUAAGAAACAUGAAGAAAUUUGCUCAGGGUCCUGUAACUAUCAAAGAGGAGCCGGUAUUAGUCAAGGUCCACCGACUUCAGAACCUGUGUUCUUCCACCCUGUGGCGAAGCCCUCACAUUGACAGUGACAGCUCUGGAUCAUCAAAAGAAGACCGACUUAUAACUGUUUAAGAAGCCAGGAAAAUUGCACAGGUUAAACUGUUGGGAAAAAAUGUACUUAAAUGGCAAGCAUCUAGCUGGAAAACAGCUUUCCAGAAUGACCAGAUAAAUAACAACAAGGAACUGCUAAAUAAUUAAAAUCCUUACAAACCUUUCCCAGCUUUAUCUUUUUGGUACCCAGGAUCAAACUCUUGCACUUGCAAGGCAAGCGGCAGAACCAGUGAGCUAAAUCCUCGGCCCCCCACCUUUAUCUUGACAUUGGUAUAAUUUUCUCUUUCUUGUAGAUGAUCUUAUGCGAACAUCUCAGCGGACACAGAAGAAAAUACAGAAAGGAAUUUCUCAUAGUAACCAAGAGCAUGACAGAAUUUUCAAUCUGA
rnacentral:lncRNA from 1 species